GCUGGGUGUGGUGGCGAGCACCUGUAAUCCCAGCUACUCAGGAGGCUGAGGCAGGAGAAUUGCUUGAACCCAGGAAGCAGAUGUUGCAGUGAGCCGAAGAUCACGCCACUGCACUCCAACCUGGGUAACAGAGCAUGACUCUGUCUCAA
rnacentral:SRP_RNA from 1 species